rnacentral:rRNA from 1 species
CAUAAUGUACAUGCCUACAACAUUAAUGCACUAGAUCCCAUAAUAAAUCUGCAGUUAAGCGUGCUUGGGAUAAAGUAAUGCUGGGAUGGGUGACCUCUCGAGAAGUCCUAGUGUUUUACAUGC